CGGACGGGCACUGUGACUGGGGCUCUGUGCGGGGCCCGUGCCUGCCUCAGGCUCAGUGGAACGUGGCGCUUGGGCUGGCAUUUGGAGGAGCCGGAGCUCUGUGGGGCAGUUCCUGAUGGCACCAGACUCACCUGGAGAGAGACAACACACCAGGGUGCCAGCUCUCUCGUCAGGCAGUUUCCUAUCAGCACAGACAGCCCUUUGCCCACGUAGGCCUGUGUUUAACAAGCUAGUCAGGACACCAUUGGGAGCUCCGUCUCUGGCUGAAGACAUCUGAGAAGGAACUAAGGGUGUUGGGUUGCAUGUGCUAGAUGAGGUGCCAAUGGUGCUGUGAGACAGGAACAGUGCAUGCAUGACCCAGAGGGACACUGCUGCUGAAAUUCUCCGAUCAACGGCGCAGGGAUGCACCAACACUCAAAGUGGAGCACGCACAGGGACAUCACUUGAAGAAGAACACAUUUUCUCCAGCCCUGCAAUCAUUUUUAUGUCUCUUUUCUGCUGUCUCUCCAG